UAGGGAAUCUUCCGCAAUGGACGAAAGUCUGACGGAGCAACGCCGCGUGAGUGAAGAAGGAUUUCGGUUCGUAAAACUCUGUUGUUAGGGAAGAAAAAAUGUAUAGUAACUAUAUACAAAAGAGACGGUACCUAACCAGAAAGCCACGGCUAACUACGUGCCAGCAGCCGCGGUAAUACGUAGGUGGCAAGCGUUGUCCGGAAUUAUUGGGCGUAAAGCGCGCGCAGGUGGUUUAGAAAGUCUGAUGUGAAAGCCCACGGCUCAACCGUGGAGGGUCAUUGGAAACAAAUAAACUUGAGUGCAGGAGAGAAAAGUGGAAUUCCUAGUGUAGCGGUGAAAUGCGUAGAGAUUAGGAGGAACACCGGUGGCGAAAGCGGCUUUUUGGCCUGCAACUGACACUGAGGCGCGAAAGCGUGGGGAGCAAACAGG
rnacentral:rRNA from 1 species